rnacentral:rRNA from 1 species
GACGAACGCUGGCGGCGCGCCUAACACAUGCAAGUCGAACGAGCGAGAGAGAGCUUGCUUUCUCGAGCGAGUGGCGAACGGGUGAGUAACGCGUGAGGAACCUGCCUCAAAGAGGGGGACAACAGUUGGAAACGACUGCUAAUACCGCAUAAGCCCACGGCUCGGCAUCGAGCAGGGGGAAAAGGAGCAAUCCGCUUUGAGAUGGCCUCGCGUCCGAUUAGCUAGUUGGUGGGGUAACGGCCCACCAAGGCGACGAUCGGUAGCCGGACUGAGAGGUUGAACGGCCACAAUGGGACUGAGACACGACCCAGACUCCUACGGGAAGCAGCAGUGGGGAAUAUUGCACAAUGGGGGAAACCCUGAUGCAGCGACGCCGCGUGGAGGAAGAAGGUCUUCGGAUUGUAAACUCCUGUUGUUGGGGAAGAUAAUGACGGUACCCAACAAGGAAGUGACGGCUAACUACGUG